rnacentral:ncRNA from 1 species
UGGGCAAACUUACUGAAAGGUAAGGACGCAAAGCUAAGGGUCUAACCCAUGAAAAUCAUGGUAUGGCAGCCGGUUGCUA